CAUGGCGGCUGCUACCAUGCAAGUCGAACGGUUAACCCACCUUCGGGUUGUCAUACAGUGGCGAACGGGUGAGUAACACGUGACCAACCUGCCCCCCUCUCCGGGACAACCUCGGGAAACCGUGGCUAAUACCGGAUGCUCCUUCCCCUCCGCAUGGAGGGGUCGGGAAAGCCCAGGCGGAGGGGGAUGGGGUCGCGGCCCAUCAGGUAGACGGCGGGGUAGCGGCCCACCGUGCUUUCGACGGGUAGCCGGGUUGAGAGACCGACCGGCCACAUUGGGACUGAGAUACGGCCCAGACUCCUACGGGAGGCAGCAGUGGGGAAUUUUGCGCAAUGGGGGAAACCCUGACGCAGCAACGCCGCGUGCGGGAAGACGGCCUUCGGGUUGUAAACCGCUUUCAGCAGGGAAGACCGACGACGGUACCUGCAGAAGAAGCCCCGGCUAACUACGUGCCAGCAGCCGCGGUAAUACGUAGGGGGCGAGCGUUAUCCGGAUUCAUUGGGCGUAAAGCGCGCGUAGGCGGCGCGCCAAGCGGAACCUCUAACCUCGGGGCUCAACCUCGAGCCGGGUUCCGAACUGGCGCGCUCGAGUUCGGUAGAGGCAGGCGGAAUUCCCGGUGUAGCGGUGGAAUGCGCAGAUAUCGGGAAGAACACCGAUGGCGAAGGCAGCCUGCUGGGCCGACACUGACGCUGAGGUGCGAAAGCUAGGGGAGCGAACAGGAUUAGAUACCCUGGUAGUCCUAGCCGUAAACGAUGGACGCUAGGUGUGGGGAGGAUCGCCUCUCCGUGCCGAAGCCAACGCAUUAAGCGUCCCGCCUGGG
rnacentral:rRNA from 1 species